rnacentral:lncRNA from 1 species
ACAAAUUCAGGUUUGCCAAACAAUGAUAAGAUAUCUUGAUCAUUAUAGGUGACGAUUUCAGACUUGCAGAUCUCUGCAGAUUACAACAUCCUCCAUCACUCGGCAGGAGUGCAGGGCAUUAUAUAGUUUACACGUAAUUUACAGUACAAACACUCGUGUACAUAUUAGCUGACAAGUCUGCAAAUCUUGCAUUUCUUGCUCAUCCAGAACAAUGCCAUGACAAACAUUUUUUGAGUGAGUGCCGCACCAUCACUCACUUUGACAAGCAUCCUCCUCUAGUAAAGCUUCCGUCUUUCUCCGUAUCUUCACAGGCAACCCACCCUUCAUCCUCAGUGUUACCGAGA